rnacentral:tRNA from 1 species
UCGAAAUCGGUAGACGCUACGGACUUAAAAUCCGUCGACUUUAUAAGUCGUGAGGGUUCAAGUCCCUCUAUCCC